UACGGGGGGGACAAGCGUUGUUCGGAAUUACUGGGCGUAAAGGGCUCGUAGGCGGCCAACUAAGUCAGACGUGAAAUCCCUCGGCUUAACCGGGGAACUGCGUCUGAUACUGGAUGGCUCGAGUUUGGGAGAGGGAUGCGGAAUUCCAGGUGUAGCGGUGAAAUGCGUAGAUAUCUGGAGGAACACCGGUGGCGAAGGCGGCAUCCUGGACCAACACUGACGCUGAAUAGCGAAAGCCAGGGGAGCAAACGGG
rnacentral:rRNA from 1 species